AUUGAACGCUGGCGGCAUGCCUUACACAUGCAAGUCGAACGGUAACAGGUCUUCGGACGCUGACGAGUGGCGAACGGGUGAGUAAUACAUCGGAACGUGCCUAGUAGUGGGGGAUAACUACUCGAAAGAGUGGCUAAUACCGCAUGAGAUCUACGGAUGAAAGCAGGGGAUCGCAAGACCUUGUGCUACUAGAGCGGCCGAUGGCAGAUUAGGUAGUUGGUGGGAUAAAGGCUUACCAAGCCGACGAUCUGUAGCUGGUCUGAGGGGACGAUCAGCCACACUGGGACUGAGACAAGGCCCAGACUCCUACGGGAGGCAGCAGUGGGGAAUUUUGGACAAUGGGCGAAAGCCUGAUCCAGCAAUGCCGCGUGCAGGAUGAAGGCCUUCGGGUUGUAAACUGCUUUUGUACGGAGCGAAAAGCCCCGGGUUAAUACCCUGGGGUCAUGGCGGUACCGUAAGAAUAAGCACCGGCUAACUACGUGCCAGCCGCCGCAGUAA
rnacentral:rRNA from 1 species